rnacentral:rRNA from 1 species
AACGAACGUUGGCGGCGUGGAUUAGGCAUGCAAGUCGAGCGAAUCCCCGCAAGGGGGGAAGCGGCGUAAGGGGCAGUAAGGCGUGGGUAACCUACCCCGGGGUCCGGGAUAGCCCGUCGAGAGACGGGGUAAUACCGGGCGACGCGGUUGCCGGGCAUCCGGUGAUCGCCAUAGGUCCGCCGUCCCGGGCGGGGCCCACGUGGUAUUAGCUAGUUGGUGGGGUGACGGCCCACCAAGGCGAAGAUGCCUAGCGGGUGUGAGAGCACGACCCGCGCCACUGGCACUGAGACACUGGCCAGACACCUACGGGUGGCUGCAGUCGGGGAUCUUCGGCAAUGGGGGCAACCCUGACCGAGCGACGCCGCGUGCGCGAUGAAGGCCUUCGGGUUGUAAAGCGCUGUCGAGGGGGAGGAAACCCGAAAGGGUUGACCCAUCCCUGGAGGAAGCACGGGCUAAGUUCGUGCAGCAGCCGCCGUAACAC